GCUGAUAAUAUUUGAUUUAUUAGAAUUUAAUAAUUAAUUUUAAACUAACUCCCAAGAGUGAUCAGAGGAAAAUUUAAUAUUAGUCACUGUAUGGUGAAGUAUUCAGCUUUUACAAAACUAGAUGUUUGGCUAUUUUAAAAUGGUUAUUCAUAUUCAUAUUCCUAAAGUACCUGUCAAAUGGAUUGAGUGAUGACUGCUUAUUUAUUGACAUGAGCCAAUUUGGACUUUAGUCUCAAGACAUAAAAAUAGCUCAAUCUACAUGAAUUUGGUACAAAUUGAAGGCAGUAUUUUUUUUCUUUUUUCUGACAACAGCUUCUUAAUGGAAACCUUGGUAUUAAUGUUCAAAAAAGUGAGUAAUAUUCUUAAAUAAAAAAUAGGCUGUGAUUUGUUCAAUGUGUUUAUGACACUUCAAAGAAACAAUUCAAGGGGAAAAUAUUCAUGAGAUUUUUUUCCUCCCUUUUAUUCUCAUGACCUAGAAAAUGCAAUCAGAGCUCUGUCCAAUAGUAGCCUCUUGGCAAAAGGUUUGAUAAGGUUUUACCUGAUAGCAAUAAUUCCUCAUAUUUGAAAAAGCAUUCCCACAAAUAUUAAAGAGAGGCAUAGUAGACAUAGCUAUCUUAAGUUUACACAAACAACCAAACAAACAUGCAAAACAGGAUCAAGGAAAUUGACAUCCAAAGGUAUGGGAUUCUGAUUUACUAGUCAGCUAUAACAAUGUCACCUUAGUAUACAAUUUCCAUGUUCCAUUCUCAUCUGCAUAGUUUGGAACUUGAAUUGAGCACCAGAAGCCAAAAAUUCUCAGGAUGCAAUUUAAUUUGUGCGACUUUAUCAGUCCAUGCAUUGAUCAUAAAUUAUUUUAUUCUUUAUGUCUUACCAAAUCAUGCCGAAUACCUUUCAUCAGAGGUUCUAUAUGUCCCCAAGUAGGCAUGGAAACUUGAGGUGGGAUUGUGUGUGUGUGUGUGUUCUACACUAUGAUGGUUGAAAGAAUGAUGAUUACGUUUGUUAUUGUUACAAUCAUUUUAAUUAUAAACUCAAAGAAUUGUCCCUUGUAUGCCAGUGAAAUGCUAAACUAAAAAGUAGUGAUCAUAAUCAGGGCAAUUCGCAUAACUUGUUCUAUGCUGGUCUUCUGUUUUAAGUCAUGUAAUAAAAUCUGCUUAUAUGUCAAUUGCUUCCCCCACCCCAUAUAUCAUGUAAUAAAAUCCCCCGUAUGUCAAUAAUUUUCCCAGUACGAAAUGAAGCUGCUAUCAGUUUUGUCGACUCAGAAAUGUAAAAUAUAGCACAUUUUAUUCUGUCUGUGGUCCUGUACUAUGCUAAAUUUGCAGCUGUGAACAAAUUAAUCUUUAUUUUUAUCAGGAAUUC
rnacentral:lncRNA from 1 species